rnacentral:snoRNA from 1 species
ACCCUCCAGAUCCCUUACCCCUCAGAUCUAAACAUUAGUCUGAGCGGCUAUAAAAGGAGAAAAAGAAAAACUGCACUGGGAUUCUUUUGUGAGAUCCAUAUAUAUAUGGAUCUUAUAUAUAUAUAU